AGACUUCAGUUACAAAAAGGCUUUGUUUACACAGACAGCCUAAUUCUGAUAUUUUUCACUUAUUGGUCUUUUGACCAAUCAGAUCAGCUCUGAAAAAGAUCUGAUGUGAAAAGGUCUGACGUUAUUGGUCAGAAGACAAACUAGUGGAAAAAAGAUCAGAAACGGGCUGCCAGUCUAAACACAGCCUUAAGGAUCAGAGUCAGUAUGUAUAGAUACAAACAUACGAUUGGGACAUUUCAGCUGCCAUACAGUGGGGAGACAUCAACUGAAGGCCGCCAAUCUGAAACUCUACAAUCAAGCAGCAAGUCUCCAAACAAAGACCUGAGCCCUAGGACCAUGCCUCUGGACUACCUAGUCUGAUGACCCCUUUCUGUCCCCAGUCCACCUGGUCGUGCUGCUGCUCCAGUUCUCCUUGCGGCUAUGGAACCCUGACCUGUUCACCGAAUGUGCUACCUGUCCCAGACCUGCUGUUUUGGACACUCUCUCUACCGCACCUGCUGUCUCUAACUCUGAAUGAUCAGCUAUGAAAAGCCAACUGACAUUUACUCCUGAGGUGCUGACCUCGAUCCAACUCAAGAGACAUGGAUUGUGUAUGUGUGCCAUUCAGAGAGUGAAUGGGCAAGGCAUAAUAUUCAAGUUCCUUCAAACGGGGUAUGGUAUUAGGUGCCAUGGGCACCGGUUUGUGUCAAGAACUGCAACGCUGCUGUUUUUUUCACUCAACAGUUUCCUGUGUAUCAAGAAUGGUCCAUCACCCGAACAAAGGGCAUCCAGCCAACUUGACACAACUGUGGGAAGCAUUGGAGUGAACAUAGACCAGCAUCCCUGUGAAAUGCUUGACACCUUGUGGAGUCCAUGCUCCAAUGAAUUGAGACUGUUCUGAGGGCAAAAGGGGGCACAACUCAAUAUUAGGAAGGUGUUCUUAAUGUUUUGUACACUCAGUAUCCAUUGUUUCCAUGAACAGCUAUUUCUACAUGAUUUUUUAUUUUUUUACAUAUGACAUAUAUUUUCUCAUAUUUAGGUACAGCAUUUUUCAUACAAAGAAGCACAUUUACUUCUCAUAUUCAGUGCUUCGUGCUCACAAGGGUUUUAUUGUAAUACCCACUAGAGGGCAGCACAGACUCACAAAUCCAUUUGAUACAUGAAAAAUAUUACCAAAAUGAGCUGCACUGGUCUUUCUCAUUUCAAUUUUUACAGCUCAGUAUUGACUAUUAUUCUCACACAGUAAAGUCAUAACCUCUUGGUUAACAGUCCCCUAAUCUACUGCCUUUAUGCAGUUCACAGAGAAAUAAGACACCCUUCUAAACAGAAGGGAUUGAUGGCACUCCGCUAAUGCUUCAGACAUGCACUCAGCAGCAACCCACCACAUCCACAACCUCCUACUACCCUCCAUCUGGUCAUAUCCAUCUUCAGACCCCUCACCCCCUCUCCCCAGGUAUAUUACUAUUCUCUCAGAGAUCCUGUUCCUCUGCACCGCUCUCCCCUGGCAGAUUCAUAGCACUUUCUCUCAGCAUGUUUGUAAUGUGAGCGUUGUGAGAGGAAUGAUUUGGUCGGAUCAGGAGGGAACAGUAUAUACACCAUCUAUUGUCUCAUGUUAACCAUAUUUCCCUGUGUCAUGUGGCGUGAAGGUGGCAUGUUGUACGAUAUUACCCCAGUUCCUUCACUGAUUCCUGAAGCACUGAUUGAUGAGCUGGUAAUAUGGUGGAAUAAAGUUAUUAUUCUCUCCCA